UACGAAGGGGGCGAGCGUUGUUCGGAAUUACUGGGCGUAAAGGGAGCGCAGGCGGUUCAUUUAGUUAGGCGUGAAAGCCCCGGGCUCAACCUGGGAACUGCGCUUAAUACUGAUGAGCUAGAAAACAGAAGAGGAUAGUGGAAUUCCCAGUGUAGAGGUGAAAUUCGUAGAUAUUGGGAAGAACACCGGUGGCGAAAGCGGCUAUCUGGUCUGAUUUUGACGCUGAGGCUCGAAAGCGUGGGGAGCAAACAGG
rnacentral:rRNA from 1 species